AAACUGCGAUAAUUAAUGUGAAUUGCAGAAUUCUGUGAAUCAUCAAGACCUUGAACGCAAACUGCGCCUACGGGUCCACCUGUAGGCACGCUUGUUUGAGUGUCGAUUCAUUCACUAUCCCUUUAUUAUUCCUAUUUUUUUUUAAGUGGGUAAUAAUAAAGGGGAAUUGGAGGUGUGGUUUUUCCUCUUUUUUUUUAAAAAAAAAGAGGGGGGGACCACUCCUUUUAAGUUCAUCUUCGGACUUUGCUUUUCAAAAAAACGAAUCAGUUUCAGCAAAGAGGUCCAGCCAGUAGGUACCAAUACGUUGGUUUAUCGAAAACUCACAUCUCUCUUGUCUAAAUUUGACAUUCGUUUUUGGAGCAAUAUAAAUCAAGUUCGAAUAAAAGGAAAGAAUCAAAACAACCGAUCAUUUCUUAACAAUUCGACCUCAAAUCAAGUGGGAUUACCCGCUGAAGUUAAGC
rnacentral:misc_RNA from 1 species